UACGUAGGGGGCAAGCGUUGUCCGGAUUUAUUGGGCGUAAAGAGCGUGUAGGCGGCCAGGCAGGUCCGUUGUGAAAACUCGAGGCUCAACCUCGAGACGUCGAUGGAAACCGUCUGGCUAGAGUCCGGAAGAGGAGAGUGGAAUUCCUGGUGUAGCGGUGAAAUGCGCAGAUAUCAGGAAGAACAUCGGUGGCGAAGGCGCUCUGCUGGACCAUAACUGACACUCAGGGACGAAAGCUAGGGGAGCGAAUGGG
rnacentral:rRNA from 1 species